rnacentral:rRNA from 1 species
AUCUGCCUUUGAGCGGGGGACAACAUUUGGAAACGAAUGCUAAUACCGCAUAACAACUUUAAACACAAGUUUUAAGUUUGAAAGAUGCAAUUGCAUCACUCAAAGAUGAUCCCGCGUUGUAUUAGCUAGUUGGUGAGGUAAAGGCUCACCAAGGCGAUGAUACAUAGCCGACCUGAGAGGGUGAUCGGCCACAUUGGGACUGAGACACGGCCCAAACUCCUACGGGAGGCAGCAGUAGGGAAUCUUCGGCAAUGGACGAAAGUCUGACCGAGCAACGCCGCGUGAGUGAAGAAGGUUUUCGGAUCGUAAAACUCUGUUGGUAGAGAAGAACGUUGGUGAGAGUGGAAAGCUCAUCAAGUGACGGUAACUACCCAGAAAGGGACGGCUAACUACGUGCCAGCAGCCGCGGUAAUACGUAGGUCCCGAGCGUUGUCCGGAUUUAUUGGGCGUAAAGCGAGCGCAGGUGGUUUAUUAAGUCUGGUGUAAAAGGCAGUGGCUCAACCAUUGUAUGCAUUGGAAACUGGUAGACUUGAGUGCAGGAGAGGAGAGUGGAAUUCCAUGUGUAGCGGUGAAAUGCGUAGAUAUAUGGAGGAACACCGGUGGCGAAAGCGGCUCUCUGGCCUGUAACUGACACUGAGGCUCGAAAGCGUGGGGAGCAAACAGGAUUAGAUACCCUGGUAGUCCACGCCGUAAACGAUGAGUGCUAGAUGUAGGGAGCUAUAAGUUCUCUGUAUCGCAGCUAA